GUAGACCGGAGCUGUUCCUACUCGGCCAUCUUGGCUCCUCCCCGCCAAGAAUAUGACUGCAUUUGGAAAUAGGGACUUUAAAGAGGUGAUUAAGUUACAAUGAGGCCACUAGAGAAGACAAUUAUCCAUUUGGACUGAUGUGCUUAGAAGAAGAGCAUAUUGGUAAAAAGAGACACCAGAGGUACAACAGCACAGAGAAAGACCAUGUGAGGACAUAGUGAGAAGAUGGCCAUCCCAUCUGCAAGCCAAGGACAGAGGCCUCAGGAGAAACCAACCCUGAUGACACCUUGAUCUUGGACUUCACAGCCUCCAGAACUAACAUACUCAAGUGUCUCAGCUCAACAUUUGGAGAUGAGCCAUCCUCCUCUUAUUGUAAGAAAAGCUUGAAGGAGUAUUUUCACAGCGAUGGAACUGGAAGUUAAGGCAACUUCUAUCAGCAUCAAGAAAAGAAAAGAAGUAUUCACCACUUACGAAACAACAUCUCUCUUCUCAUCAAUAGUUUGAUUUACAGCAUCUACUGCAGAAGACCUCAAUAAUGCAUAAGAACAUCUGGAAGUACGGUAAUUUCAGCUAUCAGAGAUAAGAAUUGACACAGAACAGCAUCUGGAAAUCUGCAGAUUUGGAUGCACAAACAAUUAGACAUAAGACACAGCAUAAUGAAGUAUUUGUUUUCAUAGAGGAUCAUAGAAAUUCAUAAACAGAGGAUGAAGAAACACAGAAGACAGAGGAAGGAUUUAGUUUUGGGAACAUGUGCUAAUGGCCAUCAAACAAUUCUGAAAUAACUGAAAGAGAACCUUUGAAACACCCUUUAGAUUAAGAGCCUGGCUUGUAAUCUGUAACAACAAACGGUAUUACAAUGAGAAAAAUAAAUGUCCUGUCAAGGCAUUCCUUCAAUGACAUCUUGUCACACAAGUCUAUAUCCAAGGCUGCCCACAAAGUGGAAAAAUGGGGAAAAUAGAGAAUUCAGCUCACUAUGAUUUCUGCAAUAUACAAUUAUGGGAAAUCAUGUUUGGAUUGACACUGCAGACAGAAAUGGCAUGCAUGAUUCCUGUUUGGACAGGAAUAGCUGUUGGGGAGGAAGCCAACCUUGAAUGACACUGAAGAGCAACAUAAUGAAGCAUGAAUUGACAGGCAUCCUUCACGUUGCUUCUGGCUUCCCGUGUAAAAAGCCAUAUCUGAGCGCAGCUCUUAUGGGGCCAGAUCCAGGGGAGGAGAAAGGAAGUGAGGCCCAGAAAAAAUACAUUGUCAUGGAGGAGUGAAACUGAAGACAAAACAAAAAGGACUUUCCACAACUAGGCCCCUGGCUUACACUGCAAUGGAAGAAGAGGAGCAGAAAUACUGCCAAAGAUCCUUAUGAUGGCAUUGCAUUUUAGACUGCUUUUCAACUGAUUAUGACAGUAUCAACAAAAGAAACUUUCAUUUGAGGUAUGCAAAGAAGCAAUAUUAAUCCAAUAGCAUGUUAAACUAUUGGUUCAUGUGUUUUCACUUAAUUAUAUUUUGUUGUGAUCUAUAUGUUUAUAUAAUAUGAGUGAUUUUAUACAAAAUAUUCUUAUUAAACUCCUUAUUGCUUAUUUCAUAUUGCUUAAGAUAUUACACAUUAUAUUAUACAAUGUAGUCUUUAUGAGGUCUCUGAGAAAUUCCAGUUUGAACUUGUGGUAAAAUAGAGUGGUGGUUUUCAGCCUAAAAAAAAAAAAUUGGUAAA
rnacentral:lncRNA from 10 species